GACGAACGCUGGCGGCGUGCUUAACACAUGCAAGUCGAACGGAAAGGCCCUGCUUGCAGGGUACUCGAGUGGCGAACGGGUGAGUAACACGUGGGUGAUCUGCCCUGCACUUCGGGAUAAGCCUGGGAAACUGGGUCUAAUACCGGAUAGGAGCCAUUUUUAGUGUGAUGGUUGGAAAGUUUUUUCGGUGUAGGAUGAGCUCGCGGCCUAUCAGCUUGUUGGUGGGGUAAUGGCCUACCAAGGCGGCGACGGGUAGCCGGCCUGAGAGGGUGGACGGCCACAUUGGGACUGAGGUACGGCCCAGACUCCUACGGGAGGCAGCAGAGGGGAAUAUUGCACAAUGGGCGCAAGCCUGAUGAAGCGGCGCCGCGUGGGGGAUGACGGCCUUCGGGUUGUAAACUCCUUUCGCAAGGGACGAAGCUUUUUGUGACGGUACCUAGAUAAGAAGCACCGGCUAACUACGUG
rnacentral:rRNA from 1 species